rnacentral:tRNA from 1 species
UGGGGUAUAGCUCAGUGGUAGUGCUCUAGCCUAGCAUGCAUGAAGCCUUGGGUUCUAUUCCCAGAACUUCAU